rnacentral:rRNA from 1 species
AUUGAACGCUGGCGGCAUGCCUUACACAUGCAAGUCGAACGGUAACGGGCCUUCGGGUGCCGACGAGUGGCGAACGGGUGAGUAAUGUAUCGGAACAUACCUUUCAGUGGGGGAUAACGUAGCGAAAGUUACGCUAAUACCGCAUAUUCUGUGUGCAGGAAAGCAGGGGAUCGCAAGACCUUGCGCUGAUUGAGCGGCCGAUAUCAGAUUAGCUAGUUGGUGAGGUAAAGGCUCACCAAGGCGACGAUCUGUAGCGGGUCUGAGAGGAUGAACCGCCACACUGGAAGUGGGGCACGGUCCAGACUCCGACGGGAGGCAGGAGUGGGGAAUUUUGGACAAUGGGGGCAACCCUGAUCCAGCCAUGCCGCGUGAGUGAAGAAGGCCUUCGGGUUGUAAAGCUCUUUCGGCCGGGAAGAAAUCGUAUCAGCUAAUACCUGGUGCGGAUGACGGUACCGGCAUAAGAAGCACCGGCUAACUACGUGCCAGCCGCCGCCGUAACAC